UUUCAUCUAUCCCCGACGCACAUUAAAGUCGUGGAUUGCCCGAGUGCCUGCCGGCAUAUAUUUGAUGCGCUCGUGUAUCCAACGCGGGUUGCUGCUGGUCAAAGGCUCCGUCCGAAAAAUCCGAUCACAGCCUAGUCCGGUCUAGAUAACCAGAUUGAGAUGCUGCAGUGGGUUGUGCUCGAGUCGUGGCUUAAUGAUAAUACUUUUAUACAUGCUCGAGAAGAACGCACUUACUGUACGCUAAGCUAAUCACUUAAUCAUGGCUCUAUGAUUCGGUCUAUGGUUUGUAUCGAGAGUGUGUGCUUUGUACACAUACAAGUAUAAUGAUAACUGAC
rnacentral:misc_RNA from 1 species